rnacentral:rRNA from 1 species
CCUACGGGUGGCAGCAGUGGGGAAUAUUGGGCAAUGGGCGCAAGCCUGACCCAGCAACGCCGCGUGAAGGAAGAAGGCUUUCGGGUUGUAAACUUCUUUUAAGAGGGAAGAGCAGAAGACGGUACCUCUUGAAUAAGCCACGGCUAACUACGUGCCAGCAGCCGGGGUAAUACGUAGGGGGCAAGCGUUAUCCGGAUUUACUGGGUGUAAAGGGAGCGUAGACGGCAAUACAAGUCGGAAGUGAAAUACCCGGGCUCAACCUGGGAACUGCUUUGGAAACUGUAUGGCUGGAGUGCUGGAGAGGUAAGCGGAAUUCCUAGUGUAGCGGUGAAAUGCGUAGAUAUUAGGAGGAACACCAGUGGCGAAGGCGGCUUACUGGACAGUAACUGACGUUGAGGCUCGAAAGCGUGGGGAGCAAACAGGAUUAGAUACCCGGGUAAUC